GGGAGAAAGGGAUUACAGUUGAUAUUCUGUAACUGACAACAGUUCGCGGCAACGCAUACUAUUUUUCUCCGCCAAUCUUAUACCGUUGGUAGGGAUCUCUUUCCUACAUGACAGUACUAAUACCCAGGGAAACUGGUCAUCAGGCGAACUGCGGCGUUCUGCUGGCAAAACAUAGCUUCGGUUAUGUCAAUGGCUAUUGGAUUGGUCCAUGAAGCGAAAAAUAGUUUACUGUGUCACUCGUACCGAUAACCGCAUCAGGUCUUCUAGGUAAGUAGCCUAUGGCCAUUGAGGCAUGAUAGUUCAGGGAAUUCGGCCAAUUAGAGCUGUAACUUCGGGAUAAAGCUUGGCUCUGAUGAAAAUCAGAACCGAUUGUUACGCGGAGAGCCCAACUGUUUAAUAAAAACGUAGUGUCGCGCUGUGGUAGUAUAGCCAGUGAACGCGACAUGAAUCCUGCUCAGUGCUGUGUCUGUUAAUAUGGUUCAAGCCAACGAAGCACCGGUAAAUAGCUGGGGUAACUAUGACUCUUAUCAAAGUAGCGAAAUACCUCGUCACUUAAUUAGUGACCUGCAUGAACGGAGCUAUGAGGUUCUCACUGUCCCAAACUGUCUCUCAGCGAACCAACUGUAGUGGGAACGGUCACUAGAUAUCCAGCGGGGAAAGAAGACCCUGUAGAGCUUCACUUUGGUCUAGUCUUGUAUAGUUCCUGCGGGGGUGUAGACUAGGUGGGAGAGCCAUCGAUUCUGAAAAACCACUACCCUGUUUGGGAAUAUGCUACCUAUCACAAGGAAUAGGACUAGAUAGAAAGUUUUGCUGGGGGCGGCACACCCUUCAAAGAGCAGC
rnacentral:ncRNA from 1 species